UAGUUAAAUCUUACUUUAGAA
rnacentral:piRNA from 1 species